CUCGUAGGCGGUUCGUCGCGUCCGGUGUGAAAGUCCAUCGCUUAACGGUGGAUCUGCGCCGGGUACGUGCGGGCUGGAGUGCGGUAGGGGAGACUGGAAUUCCCGGUGUAACGGUGGAAUGUGUAGAUAUCGGGAAGAACACCGAUGGCGAAGGCAGGUCUCUGGGCCGUUACUGACGCUGAGGAGCGAAAGCGUGGGGAGCGAACA
rnacentral:rRNA from 1 species